CCGGCCGUGGGGGAGCCUCGGAGGGUGGGGCGCUCCCCAGCCCGUGGAGGGAAUUCAUCCCUGAACCUGAGUUUGGCUGGGGGCCCUCUGGCCUGGCUGAGAGGGCAGGCCCCCCACCUCCAGGCAGGAUGAGGAAGAUGCCUUAAUACUUCCCUCAGUGCCUUCUCCUGCUGCGGCCCCGACAGCCCUGGGCUCACACAGGGACCCACCUCGUUUAGCUGCCCCUCGUGCAUCCCCCAGCCCGGGGCUGGUUUCUGUUCUAUAAAUUAACCUAGUUCGUGGCUGAUAGGGGCUUAAUUGCCUUUCCUCCCUGGUAACAUAUGGGCGUGUUUACUAGGGCGGUUAAUGUCAUGGCCCUACCGGAGAGCUAAUUUGGGAAACUGGGACCGCACUGCCCUGGAGAUGCAGGUGGAGGCCCCUCCCAGGGCGCAGAGCCCACCUGGCCCCAUACAGGGCCUGGAGCUGCUGAGCUCAGGAGGGAGGAACGCACACAUUUUUGCUUUCUGCCCUGGCCCCCAAACUACUUGACCAUGGCUGGCAGCAGCAGAGAGGCUGAGCUGCUUUGCCACCAGACGCCGGGAAGUGACAGGCGUCUUUGGGCAGUGGGAGAAGAGGACAUUGCCCUUUCCUGGCUGCAUUUAGCUGGAGAGAAGCCUGCCCUCCACCUCUCCAGGGGCUCAGAGCCAGGCCGGGCCUCGUGGGCAGAAGUCGGCACAAUUCUGUUCACCUCAUUCUCAGAAGCCUCAUCCCAACUCCUCAAAGGACCUGGAACUUCAACACCACUGCCCGAACCCUGGUACAGAGAACUGCUCCCCGGGGGUGAGCUCCUGAGAAGCAGCAAAAGAAGCCACAUCUGCUGGGCUGGGGGGACAUUGAGAUGGGGACCCUUGGCCGGGAUCCCUUUGCUGCUGGAGGAUACACGGGUGUGGGGCUGCUUCCCCCCGGGGAACCAGCUUUCUCCACAGCAAGGCCCCAUUGAGCCAAUCUCACUGUGUCCUCUGAUAACCUUCGGUGCACCCACCUCCUCCUGAGCUGUGCCACCUCUUUGCUCAAGGCUGAUUGUCCCAGGUCUCCCAACCUUACUCUGGGACAGUCCCUCUGCGACCUGGUGCUCCCACUUUGGGCCUUAUCUUCCACAUCUGUCAAGCAAGGAGCAGAAUCCUUACCUCUAGGGUCCCUCUCUGCCCAGAAGCUCUGAAAUCCUGCCCACAGUUACUGUUUAUAGCUCUGGGACGCACUGGGCUCCCGAGUGCCAUCUUGGCCUGUGGCAGUGCUGGCAGGUCCUCCGGCCGCCCCCUCCCUGCCUGCAGAGCCCCUGUCUCUGGAGUGAGUUAAUGCGGGGCUGGUUCCCUGCCAGCCAAGGGACUCCAGUCUCAGGCCAGGCUGUGCCCUGGGGGGAAAACAGCCAAUUGUGAAAAGCUCCCCUCACAAGACAGGGUGGGGGGCAGUAGAGGAAGGAGAGGUUACCGUCUGCAGCCCGAGCUCUGCUGGGUGGGGGGGGCCCGGGCACUGCUUUUCAAGAUGAGCCCUCUGCGCUCGACUUAGACAUGGGAAAGCUCUCCAUUUCUCCAAAUGUUCAGUAUGCAGUCAGCCGUACACAAAGGGCUUUUGUGUGAAUGGGUUUAUUUGCUUUUGUGUUGGGGAAUUUUUGGAGUGACAGUCAAAGCAGGUCUGAGAUCAGUCUCGGUUGGCGUGGUGCAGGCCAGGGCAGCAGACCUGAGCUGAGAGCGAAGGCAGCGAACACUCGAGAAUGCGGUGCCAGAGCCGGGCAGCCACGCAGAUUCAGUGUAACAACAAUAAUGUCAGAGGAGGGGUUAAUACUUGUGUUGCACUUUGAAAAGUUUCUUGAACAGGGUUAAGUGUGAUGUAUAUGUUGGUUGAAUGUCUAAAGGAGUGAUUAUUUAAAACCUCAA